rnacentral:rRNA from 1 species
GACGAACGCUGGCGGCGUGCUUAACACAUGCAAGUCGAACGGAAAGGCCCUGCGUUUGUGGGGUGCUCGAGUGGCGAACGGGUGAGUAACACGUGAGUAACCUGCCCUUGACUUUGGGAUAACUUCAGGAAACUGGGGCUAAUACCGGAUAGGAGCUCCUGCUGCAUGGUGGGGGUGGGAAAGUCUCGGCGGUCGGGGUUGGACUCGCGGCUUAUCAGUUUGUUGGUGGGGUAGUGGCGUACCAAGGCUUUGAAGGGUACCCGGCUUGUGAGGGUGACCGGCCACAUUGGGCCUGAGAUACGGCCCAGACUCCUACGGGAGGCAGCAGUGGGGAAUAUUGCACAAUGGGCGGAAGCCUGAUGCAGCAACGCCGCGUGCGGGAUGACGGCCUUCGGGUUGUAAACCGCAUUCGCCUGUGACGAAGCGUGAGUGACGGUAAUGAGUAAAGAAGCACCGGCUAACUACGUG